GGAGUUAGCCGGUGCUUCUUCUGUGAGUGAUGUCCUUCCUGCCGGUUAUUGACCCGCAGGCCUUCUUCCUCACUGAAAGUGCUUUACAACCCGAAGGCCUUCUUCACACACGCGGCAUGGCUGGAUCAGGGUUGCCCCCAUUGUCCAAUAUUCCCCACUGCCUGCCUCCCGUAGGAGUCUGGGCCGUGUCUCAGUCCCAGUGUGGCUGAUCAUCCUCUCAGACCAGCUACGGAUCGUCGCCUUGGUGAGCCGUUACCUCACCAACCAGCUAAUCCGACAUAGGCUCAUCCGAUAGCGCGAGGCCCGAAGGUCCCCCGNUUUCCCCCGUAGGGCGUAUGCGGUAUUAGCCUGGGGUUUCCCCCAGGUUAUCCCCCACUACCGGGCAGAUUCCUAUGCAUUACUCACCCGUCCGCCGCUCGCCACCAGGGAGCAAGCUCCCCGUGCUGCCGCUCGACUUGCAUGUGUUAGGCCUGCCGCCAGCGUUCAAUCUGAGCCAGGAUCAAACUCUGA
rnacentral:rRNA from 1 species